UUGCUAGUCUAACACGCUGCCGACAAAUUUCCUUAUCCCGUCUGCCGUUCCUUCACCUCGAUCCCCUUCUCUGGUCCUUUUCUCAUCUGAUCCGCUUCGCCUCUACUGCUUCGCCUCUCCUCGUCUCCGUGUGAUUCGCCAUCACCACCUCGCCGCUUCCCUACUGGUUGUGACGGCGGCGCUCGCUGGAUGGCAUGGUGGAGGUGGUAGAGGGUGGCGGAGGCGGAGCAGUCGAGGUCCUCGGCGUCGCGCGUGUGGUGGGGCAGAAAGUGGAAGGGGAAGAAUGACGCCAUCCAGAGAAGGAGGCAUAGGAUCUAAAAGAUCGAGCCUGCCCCUCACGCAAGCUCAAGAAGGAGUUUUCCGGGUGUGUGGAUGAUAGUUUGUUCAGCAGCAUGGACCAUGCCAUGAAAUUGGUGACGGCAAGACUCCCAGACUCAUAUGACAAAAAGGAAGGAGUUACAGGAGAUGGAACCACUGGUGGGGCGGUAGAAUUUUUUUCUGUUGAGGGCGAUAGUGUGUAGGAGCAACCUUUCCUUUUUAGGAUAAUGUGUGGACAUGUAUUUACUUUUUUGGGGUGUGUGCUCCAGGGGACUAGCCAGCCAACGGUUGCUGGCUAGCCGUCGUUGAAAGGUGUAGAAGCAACGACAAUCUAGAGACCGUAAUAAUUUCUGUGUUUUGCAUUCCCAGGCAGAGUAACAAUGAAUCGCCACUAUUGUUUGGAUAGGAAGAGGGAGGGGAGAAGGAAUCUGCAUUUUUGAGUGCAAGCGGGGCAAGUUGCAAGCAGCACUUAGACAAGCACAUGUCAAUAGGGACAAAACUCUUCUCAUUUUUCGUGCAAAACGGAUCCAUGGUUUUUUUAGGUGAUACAAUAUUAAACCAUAGACACAGUGUGCGUUUUCUUUUGUCACUGCCCUCGCAACGGCGGCGGAACCCCAACAGCUCCACCUUCUUGUGGCACGCCGCGCACCGGUUUGCUGCCACCGCCGGCUGUUUCACGGAUGGUGGCACGGAGCGGUCAAAAACUGUUAAGUAUGUGAUUUGCUUGUUAUUUUUUAGGCAAACUCUGUGACUUUGCAUGUUUCUGAACGUGUAGUUUACCUAACACACAACCCCCUCUCCCUCCACACUUGAUGUUUGUUUAGGCAAAUUAUUUCUAAGUUUUUUCAAACAAACUAACCUAUAACUUACUCUGUUUGGUGAAUUGUUUGGACUAUGUACUAGCUAAUUGUAACCUGUGGAGAGAUAGUCAAGCAUAUAUGUUUUGCAAGAAGAGGACAUGUUGUAUCUUUUUACCGAGCUUAGAGGCACUUUCAGAGUUUUAGAACUGGGAUUCACUUUUGAUCAACCUGAGCACAAGUGUUUGGGGGGGGGGGGGGGGAAAUAGUUUACAUGUUUUCUACCAACAAGCAAGGAAUAACACGUGAAUUUUUUCUGGUUUAUUAGUUCCCACUAGAGCAUCUAUUAUUCUGUCGAGGAAGAAGUAAAGAAUAAUUGGUGUAUUUUUUGUGAUUGCCAACUGAUGAGACUAUCUGGGAAAGAAUAGUUCUCGAUGUAAUUCUUCAUGUGCCUACCACAUUGACAUUCUGUUCGGCUAUUUUUUUGGUUGUGUCGAAUAUAGUUUUCAAGCAAGUCCUGCACAUCAACCGAAAAUAAUAUAGUUUUCAAGCAAGUCCUGCUAUUUUUUUCCGGUUGCGUCGAAUAUCUACCAUUUUUAGAGAAGUAAAAGUCAGGCAAAUGACAUCUUAGGCACACAUUAGUAGGUGGUAGUGAGUAUUUUAGGAUGAUCAGGAUUAUGGAAAUAGACUUUCCAAAAAUCUGUUUGUCCACAAUAAUAGGCAAGUCACACAUUAAACUAUAGCAAGUCUCUUGCAGUUGUCAGGCAAAUCCUGAUUUUUGGAGUUGUCGCAAGUCACACGUAAAAUACUUUGCAAGGCCGAUAUAGUUGUCAAGCAAGUCCUGCUUUUCUCCUAUGCGCACCUUUUUUAAGGUGGUACAAAAGGUUUUUGGGAUGUUCAGAAUGUGGAAACAGUAUAUUUUUAAAAACUUUGUUGUCCACAAAAUAUUAGGCAACUCACACAUAAAACUGAAGCAAGUCCUAUACAGGGUGUCAAGCAAAUCCUGAUCUUUGGUACCCAGAACGGAAUCAAACCGAAACUACCUUUUCAUUUGUAUUCAUUUUCUUAGUAAUAAAUGGUUUUUUCGUUGUUGUCCAACAAAUAACAGCUCAAGAAGGAGUUUUCCGGGUGUGUGGAUGAUAGUUUGUUCAGCAGCAUGGACCAUGCCAUGAAAUUGGUGACGGCAAGACUCCCAGACUCAUAUGACAAAAAGGAAGGAGUUACAGGAGAUGGAACCACUGGUGGGGCGGUAGAAUUUUUUUCUGUUGAGGGCGAUAGUGUGUAGGAGCAACCUUUCUUGUUUAGGACAAUGUGUGGACAUGUAUUUACUUUUUUGGGGUGUGUGCUCCAGGGGACUAGCCAGCCAACGGUUGCUGGCUAGCCGUGUCCAUUAAAGAAUAGGCAUGAGACGCUAUCAACCAAGCUUUUCAAGUUGUAGAGCAUGCUUGGUGAGGUGCUAUCGCACAGGUUGACAUUCGGUGGCGCGAUUCACACGUACUACUCCGUCGCUGAGUGCAAGCCGGCGCGCCCGACUAGAAGAAACCUGCACCUUCUCAAUAAUGGUGUUUUUUCUUUGGAUGAACCCAGGCAUUAUCAAUUACGAUUUUAUAUUUCUUUAUAAAGGGAGUACCCAGGAGGCUGACAAUGAAUCUGAAUACAUCCGAGAAGAAAGGACGGAGUAUAUGUAUAAGAGAGAAGGAUUCAAGAGCAGCUCCCAUGUCCUGAAUUUCAUAAAAUAUGGAUGAGAUGUCAA